GUUUUUUUCCCUUAAGGAAAAGUGUUUCAGGAAAGCAAUGCCCUAAGACUAGGAAAUUCAGUUUGCUAAUACAUUUUUAAACAUUCCCUGCUCCAUCUGCACUAGCUUUAGAGCUCUUUGGAAAAUCUGGCCUGUGUGAGAGAACUGAGCUGUUUUAUUUUAUUAUUAUUAUUUUAUUUAUUUUUUACUUCACAUAUGCUGGUAUUCACCCAGCAGGUACCAGAGGGACCAGCAGCUUGGAGAGAGCUUUAUCCCCAGCACUGCCAGCAAGCUGACCAGUCCCUAAGGGGAAUGUGAAAGAAGGAAGCAUUUUGAACUGCAUCCUGGUACCAGGCAGAACUAAUGGGAGCGCCAGGCUGGCAGCAGCUCUUGAGGAAAGUGUUGCUAACUGGUGGUGCUCUCAAACACCCGGAGCAGCCGUAACAGAUCCUGGCCUCUCCAACCUCUAGAGAGGCAUUUCCACUUCAUUUUCUUUUUAUGGGCAAAACCUGAGAACUUUAUUCAGUCCCUGCUUGGUCCCUGCUUGUUGUGCCACAGCAAGUAACCGUGACUGGAAUGAGUAAAAACUACGAGUCAGGCCUCGGCCUGGAGGCGGCCUAGGGGAGGAAUCACCCAUUUCAGGUGAAGUUUCCUCAUGUUGCCUCUCACUGCAGAGCAGAUUUUCUCAUCUUCUUCAUGUCUACACAUAAGGUGGGCUUGUUCAUCAGCAACCUUCCCUGUGAAACAAAACAUUAUGGAUGAUGGAUGGACUGCAUCUCAGGAUUGCUGUGAAAACUAUUUGUGUCUGCUGCCUUUGGGGUUUGCUACACUGGACCAUGGCCCAAGCCCGAACUGUGACUAAACCAUGACGAGUUAAAAGCAUGUGUAAUAUAUGCAUGAAAUCUGCAGCACCCUUCCUUAAAAUUGAUGCAGAUCAACAGACCCUGCUUGUUUUGGACCACAGAACAAGAAGUAAGUCCUACAGGCAAGUCCCCUGCCAGCAUUCUUCUCUGGAGAGCAUCAGCAGGAAAAGAUCAAGUAUGUGAAUGUCUCUGAUUAUGUCCUGAGGUUGUUAAUGGGAGAAAGUGGAGGAUGAACAUUGGUUAGCCUUUAAAAUUUGAAUAUAAAUUGCUUUUCCAACAAGCCAAGAAA
rnacentral:lncRNA from 1 species